rnacentral:rRNA from 1 species
UACAGAGGGGGCAAGCGUUGUUCGGAAUUACUGGGCGUAAAGGGCGCGUAGGCGGCCUUCUAAGUCGAACGUGAAAUCCCCGGGCUCAACCCGGGAACUGCGUCCGAUACUGGAAGGCUUGAAUCCGGGAGAGGGAUGUGGAAUUCCAGGUGUAGCGGUGAAAUGCGUAGAUAUCUGGAGGAACACCGGUGGCGAAGGCGGCAUCCUGGACCGACACUGACGCUGAUGAGCGAAAGCCAGGGGAGCAAACGGG